CUCUUACUCAUUACUGUGUGAUUGAAGACAGUGUGUUGGAGUUAAUGGUGUAACUAACCUUCAGCUUUAUUCACGCUGUUAUUGACACAAGCCAAUCGCCUCGGUUUCAUUGCAGGUACGUGUGCCAAUGCUGAUUUGUAGAUGGUCAAGCGGAGCCUUGAUUUCUGCCAGCGCUGCAUUGGAAGGCUGUCAGGACACGAGUGGGCGGCCAAAGCAAAGGUCCAAUAAACCAUUAACAUGUGCUGGUCAGUCAAAUCACAGAGCGGGGGAAAUAUAUGGAAAUGAAUGCGUCUGAAUGGCCAUCAAUCACUGCAGUGCUGCAAACGCUGCUCGCGCUCAUGCUGUUUCUACACGUCUGGAUGGUCGGUGGUGCUGUAAUUCAAGAGUUUCAGCUCAUAUCUUCGUCCUGCGUCGAGUGUGUCCGCGACAAAGGUCAUCACUUUCAUCCGUGACAACACCCCUCCCUCGGCCCACACAUACACACAACAAAUGUCCGGAACGACUUUACCGGUAAGUUCAGA
rnacentral:lncRNA from 1 species